UAUUAUAUUUUUGUGGGAUUUAUGUGAUUGGUAACAGUGGAAGAAGAAGCGGAUGAGGAGGUUGAAGAGGAAGCGUCGAAAGAUGAGGCAGAGAUCCAAGUAGUUUUCUUUGCUGAUUCCGGUCCUGGUCCCUUCCGCGUUCUAGUGUUCUUGUUUUUAGACGUAUUUUUGAUUUCGUGAAUUUCAAUUUGUAUUAGUACUAUUAAAUUUUGGAAUUACAGUUGAUACUUAUGCAUCCAAUCAAUUUAUGUUUCAAUGAUUUCCAAGUUUUAGUUGUUUUAAUUUGUUUACUUGGACCUGUUUGAGACCAUUUUUGGGGAAAAAUAGGUUUUGGAAUAGUGAUUUUUGGAGAGUGAGGGGUUGAAAUUAUGGACACGUUUUGGUUUUAGUGUAAAAUUAAUUUUACGGGAGAGCGUGGGAUUGAAAUGUGUGUGUGAAAAAAUUAGAUUUGGGAACAAUGGAUCUUAAACAUAGUCUAAUGUCAAUUCACUUUAUAUUUUAUCUGAUGUUUCUGUUCUUUUGGUGCUUGGAGUUUGAUUUGAUGCCGAGUAAGAUUCGAAUUUUGAAUAUUUGAAACCAUCAGUCAAUAUUAAUUCAUAUGCCUGUAUAUUUUUCAGUCUUAAGUUCUCAAUUUUUGCACAUG
rnacentral:lncRNA from 1 species